UCGGAUUACUUUUCCUAAUAAUGCGACCCGUUUACGCCCCCGCUUCGUCGGCCUCGAAAACAUGGUGUGGUUUGCCGCAAUAUCGCCCUGAAUCCCAAUUCGGAAUAGUGCUUUAAAAGCUAUUCGAUGGCGUCUUGGAGUUGGCUGAGCAACGAAACGGGGGAGGGAUUUGGUUGAUUGGGGGAUCAAGAAAAGAGGAGGCUAAAUCGCUUCUCCCACCAAAAUUUUAGAAUCUAACAUGGAACAUCCACAGAUGACUACUCAUGAAUGAUCUGAGUAUUCCAGAGUUCACCUUGUACCGAUGGUACUGAUCGACUGCCACAUCUGCAUUGCUGAAGUCCAAAAUCCUCCCUGCCAAAAACACUUUCAAGCUUACGAAACAGAAUUCAGAAUAUGAGUGCUUUUGUCUCUCUCAACGCAAGUCAUACCUGGUCGUCUUGUGAAAGUAUCCCAUAUACUUUUUCCCCUGUUCCCCUCACCAGCAGCUCCUUCAAACUAAGGUUAUCAGCAACUCCAUUAACUUGUGCAGAGCAAGAUGCAGCUGAAUGUAAAAGAGACAUUUCUGCAUGACCUCACACCUGGUAAGCUGAAGAAGCUGUUCCGAAAACGAAACCACUGGGGAAGUCAUCUCUUCUGAUAGCCUCACUGGUUGCAACGAUACUAACAAGGAUAUAGAGUAUUGCUAACGCUGCCAUGGACUUGCUAAGCUUGGGAAGCUUGUGUGUUAUGCUGUUUCUUGCAGGUGCAUAGUAUUUAUGCAUUUAGUAUUAAAGAGGUGCAGGUGGAACAAUGUGUUUUGGAGAUUGAAUGUUUGACAAAGCAAAACUUUUGUUGGAGUGACGAGUCUGCCAUACCGAAUCGUACCGCCAGGUACGGGCGGUACGGUCCGAUAUGCUAACGGCACUGCUACAGUGUAACGCUACCGGUCCGACUGUAGCAGUACAGUGCACUGGAACGUUACGGUUACUGUUGCAGUGCGAGCUCGACGUUGUUGUUGUACAUGAAAAUACACUGAACACGUUCUUUGCGCAGGUGAUCGAGCACAACAUGAAAACACACCGAAGACGUGCCUCUUCCGCAUCAACCUCCAACAUCUUUUGGGCAUAUGAUGGACAUGGCGAUGUAUGUCCAGGUCAACUUCAGGCACUACACGUGGGGAGAGAAGGGAAAAGAAGGAAAUACCAGUCCAAGAGAAGAAAUUUUUUGAUCCUGCCAUCUAUCCGUUUACAAAUAUAAAUUCUAGGAAGGAGAACGCCAACCUUCACAAACUGCUGUUCGUAUGCUCUGUCUUCCCAUUCUUACCUUUCUCAUGGCCUGUGAUAAGUUUGACUGUGUCCCCUACCUUGACAUGUAUUUUAGGCAGCACAAGUAAGACUACUAAGCUGCAACAGCAU